GAUGCAGCGACGCCGCGUGAGCGAAGAAGUAUUUCUGUAUGGUAGCUCUAUCUUCAGGGAAGAUAAUGACGGUACCUGACUAAGAAUCGCCGGCUAAAUACGUGCCAGGAGCCGCGGUAAUACGUACGGUGCACGCGUUAUCCGGAUUUGCUGGGUGUAAAGGGAGCGUAGGCGGUUUUACAAGUCUGAUGUGAAAACCCGGGGCUCAGCUCCGGUAUUGCAUUGCAAACUGUAUAACUAGAGUGUCGGAGGGGUAAGUGGAAUUCCUAGUGUAGCGGUGAAAUGCGUAGAUGUUACGAGGAACACCUUUGGCGAAGGCGGCUUACUGGACGGUUACUGACGCUGAGGCUCGAAAGCGUGGGGAGCAAACAGGAUUAGAUACCCUGGUAGUCCGCGCCGUAAACGAUGAAUACCACGUGUUGGCUUCCAUAUGGAGUCUGUGCCCCAUCUAACGCAAUAAGUAUUCCACCUGGGGAGUACGUUCGCAAGAAUGAUACUCAGAAGUAUUGACGGGGACCCGCACAAGCGGUGGAUGAUGUGGUUUUCUUCGAAACACCGCGAACAACCUUACCAAAUCUUGACAUCCCACUGACAAAGUAUGUAAUGUACUCUUCCUUCGAGACAGUGGUGACUGGUGGUGCAUGGUUGUCGUCUCCUCGUGUCGUGAGAUGUUGGGUUAAGUCCCGCAACGAGCGCAACCCUUAUCUUUAGUAGCCAGCAUUUCGGAUGGGCACUCUAGAGAGACUGCCCGGGUGAACCGGGAGGAAGGUGGGGAUGACGUCAAAUCAUCAUGCCCCUUAUGAUUUGGGCUACACACGUGCUACAAUGGCGUAAACAAAGGGAAGCAAUUGGGUGACCAUGAGCAAAUCUCAAAAAUAACGUCUCAGUUCGGAUUGUCUGCUGCAACUCCACUACAUGAAGCUGGAAUCGCUAGUAAUCCCGAAUCAGAAUGUCGCGGUGAAUACUUUCCCGGCUCUUGUACA
rnacentral:rRNA from 1 species